rnacentral:rRNA from 1 species
UACGAAGGGGGCUAGCGUUGCUCGGAAUCACUGGGCGUAAAGCGCACGUAGGCGGAUUGCUAAGUCAGGGGUGAAAUCCUGGAGCUCAACUCCAGAACUGCCUUUGAAACUGUUUGGCUAGAGUGUCGGAGGGGAUAGCGGAAUUGCUAAUGUAGCGGUGAAAUGCGUAGAUAUUAGCAGGAACACCGGUGGCGAAGGCGGCUAUCUGGACGACAACUGACGCUGAGGCACGAAAGCGUGGGGAUCAAACAGG